ensembl:lncRNA
GUAUUACCAGAUGAGCAAAAAAACUUUCCAGCAUGGGCCCCUACCACCCCAAGGAUGCACAUCUACACUACAAAACCCUGUGGAUUGCAGCCCUGGAGGAUGGAGCAAGCAUAGUACUCCAAGGCACCAGAGAGGGGAAGUUUUAGCUCUGCAUAUGAAGUUAAGAAUGAACAUUUUGGCAGACACUGCGAUUUGAGUUCUGAGUGUAAAAUAACCAGAAAUUUAGGACUCAAUAAUUAACUGUCUGUUUUUACUUUCAGAACAUUUGGAGAAGAUCAAGUGGCUGACUGAAGAGAAGGUCAAGCUGAGGGCACAGCUGGCUCUACAACUUCUGAUAAACGUCUGACUGAAGAGAAUGUCAACUGAGGGCACAGCCGGCUCUACAAUCAGGAGCCAUAAGGAAGAUUCCUUCCAGCCAGAAUGCCACUGACGAUGCUGUCCAGAACCAGGUCCCCAGAUACCAUAAAGGGGCAGCUGACCGUGCAGGUGGGAGAAGGCGUCACGGCGGUACAAGGAACCUACGGUGAAUAUGAAUAACAUAUCCAGCACAACCAAUAUUGCUGCUAAGCUGCAGUUCAAAUGUUUUUUUUUAACUGCUCCUAUUUAUAGUGUUAUAUGAUCACAUUAUCCUCUUAAUAUAUUUAUAGCUCUGUUUGAAUGUUCUUAAUUCUGACUGUAGUUGUUAUGCCACUAUUCAUAAGCUUAUUGCACUGAUGUCUCUAUGAUUCAAUAACUAUCAAUUGCUGCUAGGUCACACUUUUGUAUAUUAUAUUAUUCUAG